GAAGUGUGGGUGAGUCAAGAGAUGCACCUGUGUGCACGUUCCAGUACAGAAUUCCCUCAUGGGAAUCUUCUAAGGAGAUGUCCAGAGCACGUCAACCUUGGGGCACUGAAAUGUUCCAGUGUUUGUGCACCUGGUUGUGAAGCACGUUGAGCAGACUCAUAGAGAAAAGUGCUUGCUGGACUUUCCUUGCCUUGGGCUUGUGAUGAACCAGAUCUGGGAAUAAGAUAGAAAUAUCAAUCCAGUGCUGUCUGUGAGCUGUUGAGUCUCAACCGAAAGGUCUUAAACCAGCCUCAGCGGUUUACAAAGAACUAAAACUUCUGUGUUCCGUAAUAGGAGAAACCUAUUCUUUAGAAGCUAUGCUGGAAUAGAGAGCUGUGUUCCCUGUUAUCACCCAUGACAAAGGUCACUUCACUGACUUAUGUAUUUUAUGGGUCACCAUCUGCACUUCUGAAGCUGUGUGAAAAUACUAUGAGCAACUGGUUCCAGUAUAACUUUGCUGGUGUGAUUGUGAGGUAAAUAUGAAAUAACAGAGGGGAA
rnacentral:lncRNA from 1 species